GAUGAACGCUGGCGGCGUGCCUAAUACAUGCAAGUCGAGCGAAUGGAUUAAGAGCUUGCUCUUAUGAAGUUAGCGGCGGACGGGUGAGUAACACGUGGGUAACCUGCCCAUAAGACUGGGAUAACUCCGGGAAACCGGGGCUAAUACCGGAUAACAUUUUGAACCGCAUGGUUCGAAAUUGAAAGGCGGCUUCGGCUGUUACUUAUGGAUGGACCCGCGUCGCAUUAGCUAGUUGGCGAGGUAACGGCUCACCAAGGCAACGAUGCGUAGCCGACCUGAGAGGGUGAUCGGCCACACUGGGACUGAGACACGGCCCAGACUCCUACGGGAGGCAGCAGUAGGGAAUCUUCCGCAAUGGACGAAAGUCUGACGGAGCAACGCCGCGUGAGUGAUGAAGGCUUUCGGGUCGUAAAACUCUGUUGUUAGGGAAGAACAGGUGCUAGUUGAAUAAGCUGGCACCUUGACGGUACCUAACCAGAAAGCCACGGCUAACUACGUGCCAGCAGCCGCAGUAA
rnacentral:rRNA from 1 species